AAGCAUGUAUCCAUGAUCUUCAUCGUGCAUUCAGCCAUGCACCGAAACAUCCUCAGCAAGCUAUUAGGGAUAAAUACAAGCAGUCUAGCUUCCACGCAGUGGCAAAACUUCAACCUCCAGAGAUGUUGCCCCUAGUUUAAAUUCUUCCAAUAAUGUUGAAAAGAGUAACAAUGUAAAUAUUUUACUGCCUUACUAAACAGAGAUUUUAUUAGAAAAAAUCUUCCAUCAUUCUGUGAGUUAUCAGAGGAAAAUUUGAAAUAUUUCUGAUGUCAAAGACAUUUUUACUUGCGACUUGCUCAAUUCAAUUUCUUACAGAUUAUAUUUCUAUCUUGGUUUACCAAAAUUAUUAUUUUUAUUAUUAUUCUUGUAUCUUUCUAGUACUUUGUAACUGUUGGAAAAAUGUAUAGACUUGCUGAACUUUAUAUUUUUACCUUCUCAGUCACAGCAUUGAAUUGUUAAGCUAGCUGUCAAUAUGAUUUUGUAGGAGUUACAUGUAAUUUUAAGAAAUUAUUCUUACCUAACCAAAUUUUAAAAACUAUGAUCAUUGUAUUCUAAUAAUCUCUUUUAGGUAUACACAACAUACACGUAGUUAGAAAUAUGAUGAUUAAGUAUUGACAUGAUUUUCUUAAAAGUGUGUUUCUGGUUUAACUGUAAAAUAUGUAAAAUAAAUAACCUGUAAAACA